GCUUGUCUCAAAGAUUAAGCCAUGCAUGUCUAAGUAUAAGCAAUUUGUACUGUGAAACUGCGAAUGGCUCAUUAAAUCAGUUAUAGUUUAUUUGAUCUUACCUUACUACUUGGAUAACCGUGGUAAUUCUAGAGCUAAUACAUGCAAAAAUGGGCGACUUCUGGAAGCUCAGUAUUUAUUAGAUAAAAAACCAAUCAGCGCAAGCUGUCUACUGGUGAAUCAUGAUAACUUCACGGAUCGCACGGCCUUGCGCCGGCGAUGGUUCAUUCAAAUUUCUUCCCUAUCAACUUUCGAUGUUUGGGUCUUGGCCAAACAUGGUUGCAACGGGUAACGGAGGGUUAGGGCUCGACCCCGGAGAAGGAGCCUGAGAAACGGCUACUACAUCCAAGGAAGGCAGCAGG
rnacentral:rRNA from 1 species